UGAAGCUGUAGUGGUAGUUUCUGCUGUUGUACUUUCCGAAGUUGUAGGCAGCACUGUUGAAGUAAGAAGUGUUGUUUCUGUACUGACAACUGUGGUUGUGGGAGCUUGAGUUGUUGUGAGGUCAGGAGAUGUUGUGGGUUCAGCUGUAGUUGUGGUUGUAGGAGGUGCAGUUGAAGUUCCUGAAGUUGUAGAAAUUGUUGUUGAAAGAACAGUUGAGGUAUCUGGACUAACAUUUGUGGUUCUGACAGCUUCAGUACUUGUGGUUACAAGAGGCACUGUGGUCUGUGCUGUUGUACUUUGAGCUAGAGAGGACGUUGGAGCUAAUGUAGUAGUUGAAGGAUCAACUGGGG